CGGAGGGGGCUAGCGUUGUUCGGAAUCAUUGGGCGUAAAGGGCGCGUAGGCGGCCGAUCAAGUCGGAGGUGAAAUCCCUCGGCUCAACUGAGGAAUUGCCUUCGAUACUGUUCGGCUUGAGUCCUGGAGAGGGUAGCGGAAUUCCCGGUGUAGCGGUGAAAUGCGUAGAGACCGGGAAGAACACCAGUGGCGAAGGCGGCUACCUGGACAGGUACUGACGCUGAAGCGCGAAAGCUAGGGGAGCAAACAGGAUUAGAUACCCUGGUAGUCCUAGCUGUAAACGAUGGGCACUUGGUGUUGCGGGUAUCGACCCCUGCAGUGCCGAAGCUAACGCAUUAAGUGCCCCGCCUGGGGAGUACGGUCGCAAGGCUG
rnacentral:rRNA from 1 species